rnacentral:rRNA from 1 species
GGAUUAGCGGCGGACGGGUGAGUAACACGUGGGUAACCUGCCUCAAAGUGGGGGAUAGCCUUCCGAAAGGAAGAUUAAUACCGCAUAAUAUGAGAGAAUCGCAUGAUUUUCUUAUCAAAGAUUUAUUGCUUUGAGAUGGACCCGCGGCGCAUUAGCUAGUUGGUAAGGUAACGGCUUACCAAGGCAACGAUGCGUAGCCGACCUGAGAGGGUGAUCGGCCACAUUGGAACUGA